GAUGAACGCUGGCGGCGUGCCUAAUACAUGCGAGUCGAGCGAACAGAGGAGGAGCUUGCUCCUCUUACGUUAGCGGCGGACGGGUGAGUAACACGUGGAUAACCUACCUAUAAGACUGGGGUAACUUCGGGAAACCGGAGCUAAUACCGGAUAAUAUAUUGAACCGCAUGGUUCAAUAGUGAAAGACGGUUUUGCUGUCACUUAUAGAUGGAUCCGCGCCGCAUUAGCUAGUUGGUAAGGUAACGGCUUACCAAGGCAACGAUGCGUAGCCGACCUGAGAGGGUGAUCAGCCACACUGGAACUGAGACACGGUCCAGACUCCUACGGGAGGCAGCAGUAGGGAAUCUUCCGCAAUGGGCGAAAGCCUGACGGAGCAACGCCGCGUGAGUGAUGAAGGUCUUCGGAUCGUAAAACUCUGUUAUUAGGGAAGAACAAAUGUGUAAGUAACUCUGCCCGUCUUGACGGUACCUACUCAGAAAGCCCCGGCUAACUACGUG
rnacentral:rRNA from 1 species